rnacentral:rRNA from 1 species
AGCAGUCGCCGCGGGAAUACGGAGGGUGCAAGCGUUAUCCGGAUUUAUUGGGUUUAAAGGGUCCGUAGGCGGAUCUGUAAGUCAGUGGUGAAAUCUCACAGCUUAACUGUGAAACUGCCAUUGAUACUGCAGGUCUUGAGUAAAUUUGAAGUGGCUGGAAUAAGUAGUGUAGCGGUGAAAUGCAUAGAUAUUACUUAGAACACCAAUUGCGAAGGCAGGUCACUAAGAUUUAACUGACGCUGAUGGACGAAAGCGUGGGGAGCGAACAGGAUUAGAUACCCCCGUAGUCCCUGUCUCUUAUAC